AGCCCUAGGAGCUCCCCUCAACUGCAGAAGGAGGAAGAACUGGGCUGGAGUGCAGUGGAAGAUGAAAGGAGGCAUCAUGCAAAGCCAGGCGUGAGCCCUGCAAGUGGCAGGGAUUCAGCAGUGAUGGGUCUGUGGCUACCCCAGGAGUUUAUCAUGAGCCACACUGGGAGUGGUGUACAAGAGCUUUGUAGUGAUUGAAGGAGAAAUCUGGAGUCCAAUUAACUGGAGUCAAAGAGGUUGGAGCACUUUGCAUCUGGUCUGUGCAGGCAGGAGGGACCAUAGGCACGGAGUGCUUGUGAGGGAGCACAGUGGAGAGGUGAGGAGAGGACCAGUGCAGAGAUGUCAUUUUCCCUUGCCCCAGACGUCUCUCUUUUCUUUGUUGAUGCUCUCUAUUCAAGCUUGCACCUAAAGUUGUAGGGUAGGUUCCCUGGAGGCACCUAUUUCUAUCACAGAGCGAAUAUGGCAAAAAAUCUCGCAGUGAAAUGACAUAUGGAC
rnacentral:lncRNA from 1 species